AGACACCAUUAUGGGGCAAAACUUGCUUCAGUGGGGCUUUGGUGCUCACUGAGUCUGCCCCCUGAGUGUGUCCCU
rnacentral:pre_miRNA from 1 species